rnacentral:rRNA from 1 species
CCUACGGGAGGCAGCAGUAAGGAAUAUUGGUCAAUGGGCGCAAGCCUGAACCAGCCAUGCCGCGUGCAGGAAGACGGCCCUAUGGGUUGUAAACUGCUUUUGAACAAGAGAAAACCUCGGUACGUGUACCGAGCUGAUAGUAUUGUUAGAAUAAGCAUCGGCUAACUUCGUGCCAGCAGCCGCGGUAAGACGAAGGAUGCAAGCGUUAUCCGGAUUCAUUGGGUUUAAAGGGUGCGUAGGCGGCCUGAUAAGUCAGUGGUGAAAUCUCUCAGCUUAACUGAGAAACUGCCAUUGAUACUGUCGGGCUUGAGUACAGAUGAUGUGGGCGGAAUAUGACAUGUAGUGGUGAAAUACUUAGAUAUGUCAUAGAACACCGAUUGCGAAGGCAGCUCACAAAACUGUAACUGACGCUGAGGCACGAAAGUGCGGGGAUCAAACAGGAUUAGAUACCCUGGUAGUCCGCACCGUAAACGAUGAUUACUCGUUGUUGGCAAUAUGACCGUCAGCGACCAAGCGAAAGCGAUAAGUAAUCCACCUGGGGAGUACGCCGGCAACGGUGAAACUCAAAUGAAUUGACGG